rnacentral:rRNA from 1 species
UGGCUCAGAACGAACGCUGGCGGCAUGCCUAACACAUGCAAGUCGAACGAGACCUUCGGGUCUAGUGGCGCACGGGUGCGUAACGCGUGGGAAUCUGCCCUUGGGUCUGGAAUAACAGUUAGAAAUGACUGCUAAUACCGGAUGAUGACUUCGGUCCAAAGAUUUAUCGCCCAAGGAUGAGCCCGCGUCGGAUUAGCUAGUUGGUGGGGUAAAAGCUCACCAAGGCGACGAUCCGUAGCUGGUCUGAGAGGACGACCAGCCACACUGGGACUGAGACACGGCCCAGACUCCUACGGGAGGCAGCAGUGGG